UACAGAGGGGGCAAGCGUUAUUCGGAAUUAUUGGGCGUAAAGGGCGCGUAGGCGGCUUUGCAAGUGGCGGGUGAAAUCCCUCGGCUUAACCGAGGAACUGCCUGUCAAACUGCAUGGCUUGAGACCAGGAGAGGUGAGUGGAAUUCCCAGUGUAGCGGUGAAAUGCGUAGAUAUUGGGAGGAACACCAGUGGCGAAGGCGGCUCACUGGACUGGUACUGACGCUGAUGCGCGAAAGCCAGGGGAGCAAACGGG
rnacentral:rRNA from 1 species